UACGUAGGGGCCUAGCGUUGUCCGGAUUCAUUGGGCGUAAAGAGCUCGUAGGCGGUUCGGCAAGUCGGGUGUGAAAACUCCAGGCUCAACCUGGAGACGCCACCCGAUACUGCUGUGACUUGAGUCCGGUAGGGGACCACGGAAUUCCUGGUGUAGCGGUGAAAUGCGCAGAUAUCAGGAGGAACACCGGUGGCGAAGGCGGUGGUCUGGGCCGGCACUGACGCUGAGGAGCGAAAGCGUGGGGAGCGAACAGG
rnacentral:rRNA from 1 species